GCUACUCAGGAGGCUGAGGCAGGAGGAUCACUUGAGCUCAGGAGCUCUGAGCUGUAGUGCACUGUGCCAGUUGAGUGCACUAAGUUUGGCAUCAAUAUGGUGACCUCCCAGGAGUCGGGGACCACCAGGUUGCCUGAGGGAGGUGUGAACCUACCCAGGUCAGAACUGGAGCAGAUCAAGACUCCCAUGCUGAUCAGUAGUGGGAUCUCACCUGUGAAUAGCCACUGCACUCCAGCCUGACCAACAUAGACCCCAUCUCA
rnacentral:SRP_RNA from 1 species